UCCUGGCCAAUUGGCUGUGUGGAUCAGCUGUGUCUAUGAUGGGAGAACUUCUGUGCUGGAGACACCCUUAUGAGACAAGACUUGCUUCAGUGGGGCUUUGCUGCUCACUGAUUCUGCCCCCUAAGUGUGUCCCUUAUGAAUCUGAGGAGUUGUAAUCUGGAGGUCACACUCUGACCACUGGGUACACUGGCUCUUGGAUCUCUAAGGAAGUGUUAAUUUUACCUCUGCCUGAGGCCACCCAGCAGAAGUUAUGGAGAGAUCU